AGCGAACGCUGGCGGCAGGCCUAACACAUGCAAGUCGAACGAACUCUUCGGAGUUAGUGGCGGACGGGUGAGUAACACGUGGGAACGUGCCUUUUGGUUCGGAAUAACUCAGGGAAACUUGUGCUAAUACCGAAUGUGCCCUUCGGGGGAAAGAUUUAUCGCCAUUAGAGCGGCCCGCGUCUGAUUCGCUAGUUGGUGAGGUAACGGCUCACCAAGGCGACGAUCAGUAGCUGGUCUGAGAGGAUGACCAGCCACACUGGGACUGAGACACGGCCCAGACUCCUACGGGAGGCAGCAGUGGGGAAUCUUGCGCAAUGGGCGAAAGCCUGACGCAGCCAGGCCGCGUGAAUGAUGAAGGUCUGAGGAUUGUAAAAUUCUUUCACCGAGGACGAUAAUGACGGUACCCGGAGAAGAAGCCCCGGCUAACUUCGUG
rnacentral:rRNA from 1 species